AAAAAAGUUUAUUAAAAAAAAUGAAGACAAAAAAUGCAUAAAACAAAAAGAAAAGGAAAAAUGUAUAUUUUAAAAUGAUUUAGGACUAAAUGUUAAUGAAAAGUAGAAUCUUUAUUGUUGACUAACAGAUAGGACUAAUGGUAACAGAUUUCUGUUGUGCCUUUUGCAAAAUGUUAAUUUUAUUGCAUUUACAUUUACUUCAUCA
rnacentral:misc_RNA from 1 species